UCACAGCCCGGCUUGAACGGAGCUCUUUUUCUUUUUUCUCAAAAAAGAAAAAAGCGGGAGUGGAAGACGGAUUAAGC
rnacentral:misc_RNA from 1 species